UUUUUUCCGGUAGGGGAACCUGCGGAGGGAUCAUUA
rnacentral:rRNA from 1 species